rnacentral:lncRNA from 1 species
CUGAAUCAGGUUAUAAGCCUAGCAGGUGAAGUGCCAGUGAAUCUGUUUAAAUUAAGUGAUUAUAUGCAUUGGGUAUAUAUAUAUAUAUGAUUUUGGUUAUAUGUAAUGGAUAAAUAUAUGAACAUUUGUUUCAAUGUAUUUGAUGAGCAUAUAAACGUUCGGAUCUUUGUGAUUAGUGAGUAUGUACAUAUAUUGGUUGUCAUGAAAUUGUUGGAUAUAUAUAUAUACAUUCGGCCAAAUGUUAAACUUAUGUGUAUUUGGUUAAAUAUGGAUUUGAUGUAUAGUACGUGUUUGAUAAAUGUAUUUUUCGAUUAUGGAAAUGUAUAUGAAUAUUGAAAACAUGAUUUGAUUUUGUUGUAACUAAUUAAAUGUUGUUAAGUUAUCUAUUUGCUUAUGACUUACUAAGCUGUAAUAGCUUACUCUGUGUGUUUUUCUUAUAUUUUUAGAGUUCUAAAGACUUGCUCGGGUUGGAAGACGUUGGAAUCGUGAUCACACUAUCCGGUUAUGGCUUUGGUAAAUUAAAGCUUUGAGUUUUUGGUUAUGUGGCAUGUAUAGGCUAGUUUUAAUUUAGUUUUUGUAUAUAUAUUUAGCCAUGUGAAAAUGGCUUGAUCUAAUGCUAAUGAUCCAAGGUUUAAGUAAUUUUGGUCAUAGUAAAGGCGUGGGGUAUGCUUGGUAUAUGAAUUUGGUAAGACGUAAUGAUAUAUAUAUGUGUGUCUUUGAUAAGUUAUUUGAUAAUUCGGUAUGUAAAGGACUAAUGGUUUUAAUGCUUGAAUUACAAAAUGUGUUAUAUGUCUACAUAGUGGUAUGAUCGAUUAUGGUAAUUGACUUAUUAUUGUAAGUAUGAAAUAUUUGCAUUGGGUGUGUAUAUGAAAUUUUGAUAUGAGUUAUACUGUAUGAAAUUGGCAUAUUUUGAAUGGCUAAAGUACUUGGAAAAUGGCUAAUGUUAGUCAAGUGAAUAAAGUAUGUAUUGGUUUUAUAUGUAUUUUAGGCUUAAUAAUUAGCAUGCGAAUUGAGUGUAAAUUGUAUGGUUAGUUUGCUAGCCAAAUAGAAGAUAAGAUGAAUGGAAAAGCAUACACAUGUUUUGUACUUAAAUGGGAAGUUAGGCAUGUAUGACUUAUUAGUUGAGUUUAAAAAAAAAAAAGUGGUGCAUAGUUGAUAAGGUUAAAUGCAUUAGUGGCUAAGAUGUUUAUAUGCUAAACUUGACUAUUUGGUGAAAUUGAUUAUGUUAUAUUUUCUAAUGGACAAUAAGCCGAGCGAUAUGGAUUGUUUGGUUUUAUGCACAUGAAUAGAAGUAUGAAUUGAUAUAUUUGAUAUUCAGCUUAAGAAGUAAAAUAUGCUUGGAUGUCUUAAUGUAUGUGCAUGGAAUUUAUAAUGUGAUGAGUCAUCUUAUAAUUUGAUUUUGAAUGAUAUAAGUAAGAGGUAUAUAUGUUUCGAAUGAUGGGAUUUUAAAGCAUGUGUAAUAUGACUAUUUUGAGCCGUGUUUUAUAUGGUAAUGCCUUGUAACCUUAUUCCGGCGACGGAUAUAGGUUAUGGGUGUUACAGUAUCGGAUUAGUAGAUUCUCGUAAACGAACAAGUGUCGAGGUAAGUUCGUGUAACUAAAUUGUGUACAUUUAUAUGUUUGAAUUAAAUGGUAUAUAUGUGAAUUGUAUAAUUUCCAUGUAUAUAAAAUUGAUUAAAUACCCGAAAAUGCCUGAUAAAUGUUAAGUUCCGUUUGAACAAAUGAAAAUCGACAAAUACAAGUUUCAUGUAUUGGUUGUAGUCCUGCAUAUGUUGCGGACACAACACAGCUCGAAAGAGCGUCCAUUUAUUAGCCCUCUCGAGCUUCCUGUUAUAUGGUUCUUGCGAGUUUUUCGUUAAUAGCUCUUCGGAGCAUCCCGAUUGGUUGUGAUCCUAUAUGUGUUGUGGACACACCACAACUCUUAUGAGCUUCCUGAUUAUGGCUCUUUGUGAGCUUCCCGUUAAUUGGCUCUUUGUGAGCUUCCCAAUAAGGCUCACUUGGACUUCUCGAUAUUAAGCUAUCCGGUGCUUCCUGUUAAUGGCUCUUCGGAGCUACUCGAUAUUGGAUCGCAUGAGCUUCCUGAAUAUGGCUCUUAUAAGCUUCCCUUUACAUGGCUCACAUGAGCUUCCCGUUAUAUGGCUCGAGAGAGUGUUUCCUGUUUAAGUGUUCUUAUAAACACUCUUGAAUAUGAAUUGACGAAUUACAGAUUCGUACACUUCAUGUGUACUACCCGAUGUCUAUCGAUAUUUCAUAAGGUUCAAUGAGCAAAGUCCUGAUAUAAGUUAAGAUAAGGUCUGAAUGAAUUAAUAAUUGUAUCUACCUGAAAAUACAUGGAAAUGUUUAUACUAUGAGUUCAUCUCUGUUACUUACUUGAAAUGCAUUUGAAAUAUAUGACUAACUUGUUUGAGGAUGUAUAUGUGUUAGGUUAUUGAUUAAUUUGAUUUGGAUGUACUUUGUAUGCUUAUUUUAAAUGAAUAUGAAUGGUAAGUCAUUUUAUCGUUAUACGAACUUACUAAGCAUUAAAUGCUUACUUUGUUUUAUUUUCUCUAUUUUAUAGUACUCGGAAGCUCGUAAAGGUUGGAGCGGGUCGGAGCAAGAUCACACUAUCCUUCAGCUCUUUUUGGUAUAAAUAGUAAACUUUAAUUAGGAUAUAAUGACAUGUAUAGGUUAAAUUGGUUAAUUGUUGGCGUACACAUGUUUUGGUUGUAAAUAGCCAUUGGAAUGGCUUGUAAUGGUCAUGUUUUGAUAUAUAUACAUAUGGUAUUAUCAUGUUUGAAUUAUGAAUAUGAUUAUGUAUAUAUGCAUUUGGUAUCUAGGUAAGUAUAAGUUUUAGAAUAACACAAUAAUAAAUUGUCUAUUGGGAAGCCUAAG